AUGUCCGACCAACCACGGCCGCCGUCGAUGCCACCACCCCAGCCGCAGCCGUUCCGGUUCUGGCUUCCUUACAGAAGCAAUGUGGGGUCGUGGCGCCAUCAACCGCCGCCCCCAUUGCCACCGCUGCCUCGACCUCAGGCACCCGGUUCACCCACACCAACUCCGGCGGAGCCCGCGCCGGCACGCGCCGUGGAGGAAGAUACCCCCCUCCAGGCUGACUCGUCCGACGAGUCGGACACGAUUGCUGUUGAAGCUUUAGACUCGCUGCGGCUACGAGGAGCCAGGCCGGCCAUGGCUGACCUGGAGCUGACGCUCUCGAGGUCGCCGCCGCCGCCCACGGGCCCAGAGCAGGGCACGAGCGGGGGUGGCGACCGUGGGAACGACGGCGCCAAGAUAUCCAUCUCCGGCUUCCCGAGGGCCCGCCUCUUCGACGGCGCCCGCGCGCCGUACCGGCGGGAGAUCGAGGACGGGCUCAAGAGCCUGGCCGGCCGCGAGACGCCGGCGCCGAGCCCGCCGGACGUCGGCAACCAGGGGUACCGCGUCUUCACGCUGGCCGGUCACAACGUCGGCGCGAGCAUGGUCCUCGGCAACGGCUCCAGCGGCGCGCCACUGCCAAGAAGCAAUGAGCCGGAGGGGUCGGCGAGGCCGCCGUCGGUGGCCGCGAACGUGAACAGCAACGUGCAGGGUGUGAACAACUCGGCGAUGGAGGAGAGCACGUGCAACUCCGGUGACCCCGGGGUGCGCGUGGACAUCAAGAACGCCCACGAGGAUCGUGUUGCGCUGGGGCAGGGCAAGGAGGGGGAGAAGAAGCCAGAGGAACCGGCAAGAACACCGCCACCGCAAGCAGAAAGCAGCGGCGAGGCGGCCCGGGCGCCGCCGAAGACGAGGCGGUGCCUUCGCGCGCUGAUGAUCGAGGAGCGAAAGCCGAAGCCGAUAUCCUGCCGGUUCCAGUGCGUGGCGGACCACGCGCCGCCGCCGGCGACCGCGAGCAACUCCGGCGGUAAUAAGAGUGCGGAGGAAGGCGCGGAAGAGGGCACAAGGUGA
rnacentral:rRNA from 1 species